CAGACCUUAGCUCAGUUGGUAGAGUGGUGGACUGUAGUUGGACUAAUCAAAAUUGGGAAAUCCAUAAGUCGCUGGUUUGAUUCCGGCAGUUUGGA
rfam:Ipomoea nil DNA, scaffold: scaffold3056, cultivar: Tokyo-kokei standard.